GUGGCAGGAGACGCGUCUGGCUCUGCCUCUCUGUGCCAAGCGCUGGCAAUUGGAGUCACCCGACCUUGUUCUAAGGCUGGGUACCAAGCUCCCAUUGCUGUCAACUCUGAGAGCGAUCCCAAAUUCAAGCCCAGAUACUUCUGCGAGGCGGAAGCACGGGUUCGAAGAUGGACUUUACCAGAAAAGGAAAGACCACUGAAGGAAAAGGCCUGACUGGCUACUCUAUUGCCAAGAACCUUCCCCAGACACGUCCCUCUUCACUCCUUCCCUUCAAGCCCUUGCCUCCCAUCCCAGAGAGCUCUUCUUCCAUCAAGCCAAGCAACAUGUGUAAUGGAGAGAAAAAGAAAUGGAAAACUAGCACUGGCUACAAAGAUAUCAGAAGAAACAGCCAGGAGUUGAGCUCAGAUGGAAAAAGGUGUAAGGCUUCCUUGGUGCAUUCCAGUGGUGAGGAUAUGAAGAAGGGGUCUUUGGGACAACCUUUGAUUCCCCCAAUACGCAAGGCAGGAAGUCUCCCUGUUAGCAGUGCUGCAGGGCCUCUGCAAAACUCUCCCCAGCUGGAUUUCCCGGAGUCCUGGGAGAUGAGGCCAGGAUCCAGCAGCAGAAGCCAAGAGAAGAACUCUGACCAUUCAGGCCUGACUGGCUACUCUAUUGCCAAGAACCUUCCCCAGACACGUCCCUCUUCACUCCUUCCCUUCAAGCCCUUGCCUCCCAUCCCAGAGAGCUCUUCUUCCAUCAAGCCAAGCAACAUGUGUAAUGGAGAGAAAAAGAAAUGGAAAACUAGCACUGGCUACAAAGAUAUCAGAAGAAACAGCCAGGAGUUGAGCUCAGAUGGAAAAAGGUGUAAGGCUUCCUUGGUGCAUUCCAGUGGUGAGGAUAUGAAGAAGGGGUCUUUGGGACAACCUUUGAUUCCCCCAAUACGCAAGGCAGGAAGUCUCCCUGUUAGCAGUGCUGCAGGGCCUCUGCAAAACUCUCCCCAGCUGGAUUUCCCGGAGUCCUGGGAGAUGAGGCCAGGAUCCAGCAGCAGAAGCCAAGAGAAGAACUCUGACCAUUCAGCUUCUUCUGAGUCUAAAACAAAACCCCAGAGGAAGAAGGAAAAGAGCUCUCAGUGUAAGACAGGACCUGGGAUACCUCUGUUCCCAAGGAAACUCCCCGACCUGUUUGGCUUGGAGACUCAUGUGCCGAAGCCUGGCCUUGGGAAUGGAGGUCUUGGCUCCUGGCUGGCCCAGGGGGCCUUGGCCCAGGAGCCCUGGCAGAGGCCACCGAGCAGCGCUGUCCCCAUGGUCACUGCCAGGGAGGACAAGGUGAAGGCUGAGCAUGGCUUAGCCUCACAAAAAGGCCUCCCACUGAGCCAGGCCAAGGAGAUGGAUCAUCCCACCAGUCCUGGUCUUAUGAGUGACAGUGACCUGAGGGACAGCUUUGGAAAGGUCCGUCCUGCAUUGUGCAAGUUGGCUCAAAAGAACUUAGAGCGGAAGAAAAUGGAGCUUUUGGAGAAAGAGUUGAAGAGAAGGCGACAAAACGAAACAUCCUUGCAGCUUCCUCCUCAGACAGUUAAGCCUGGGGAUGCAGCUGAAGCAACCUUUAGCUUACCACCUGUUGAUGGCACAGCUCCUAGUGUGCAGAGAAAACACCCUGGUAGUGCCUUGAAGAAGAAGGUUGUGAGGAAGCAGGACAACGUGCCCUUACUGCCCAAUAAGCCCAUCAUCCAUGGGGAUGGCAGCUUCCCACGCAACUCUUCAGGGACCUCGGGGACGGCCACUGGUCGGCUUGGUCCUGGUGCCAAGCGCCGAGAUCAGCUGCGCCGUGGGAAUGGGCAGAAGGACACAGUCUCUUCAGACCCACAGCAGUCCUUGCUGGAAGCACUCUCCUUGCUCAGCAGAGACGACUGGGAGCUGAAAGAGAAGGGACUCUUCAUCAUCAAAGACCUGGCUGAGUCCCAUUCAGAAGUCCUGCUUUGUCAACUUCAUGAGAUUUGCUUGGCAGUUACCAGCGAGGUGACCGACCUCCGGUCAAAGGUGUCCUACUCUGCAGUGAUUACUCUGGGAGAGCUGUUUGCGAUCUUGAGGACGGAGAUGGAUUCUGAGGUGGAUGAGGUUGCUCCAGUCCUUCUCCACAUGGUGUGGAACUCCCCAGCGUUUGUUCAGAAGGCAGCCUGUCAAGCCCUGGGGACCAUGGUGGAGAAUGUAACUCCUGCACGAGCAAUGACUGUUCUCAUUGACAGGGGAGUCAAGAGCCGCUACGUCCAGGAGCGUAAGUGUGCGGCUGAACUCCUCCUGUCCUUGAUGGAGAAAAUGGGAGUCACGAAGCUUGCAAGCACACCCAGGGCUGAGAUGCUGGCACACGUGGCAGGGACACUUGCUCAGGACUGUCACCAGGACACAAGGCAUUAUGGACAGGAGAUGGUGAAGAUGUUGCUGAAUAAUCAAAAAUUUAAAAAGCUUUUGGAACAAUCUCUUUCCACCCAUGACCUGGCAGAUAUCCUGACAAGAAUUAAGAAGAAAGGGAUGGAAAACCAGAAGGGUGAACACCCAUCUGUCAAGAACCUGGUGAAGAAGAGGAACGAUGGCUUGAAGAACCCCCAGGACACAUUGCCUUCUAGCAAACGGGUGAAGUGUACCUCUGAUGGACGCCUCCUACACCAUGCAAAAGCCCGGGUCACGUUACCUGCAGCUGUGGAAGAGAUGGAGCCACUCCAGAAGCUUUACCAUCUCCUGCAAGCCAAGGGGUUUCAGACACGGAUGGAAGGAGUGGCACUCCUCCUAGACCUGUCCAAAACCAAACCCCAGCUCAUCUCCACUAACAUUGUCCAAAUUUUUGAUUAUUUUGUCUUGAGAAUAUUUGACACACAUAAGAAAGUAAAGCAGAAGGCACUGGAUGUGCUGGCAGAAAUCAUAGGCCUCCUGGAAGAUGCCCUGAACCCGGUGAUCAUCCGUUUGGUGGAAGGGAUAACAAAGAACCUAAACUCAAAGGAUCCCAGGGUUCAUGCCGCAGCUGUGAAUGCACUAGAAGAAUCCAUUGCUCAUUUAGAUAAAGUAUCACUGAUGAAAGAGCUCAGCCACCAAUGGAGCCAACUGAGUGGCGAAGCUCUGCUGGAUGUCACGGAGUGUAUCACAGUGCUUGUGGAAUGGGUUUAUCCCAGGAGCCCUGAAGUCGUCCAGCGCUACGCCCUGCCCGUGCUCUGGUCUUUCCUGGAGAACAACGCGCUGCCCGUCCGAAGCGCCAACGUCCGCAGUGUGGUCACCAAGCUUGCCAAUGCCCUCUAUGAGGUGAUGGGCACCAAGCUGAAGAAGUGUGCAGCCAGCAAGCCUCCACACAUGUGGGAAAACCUCUCCAACAUUUUGGGCUGGUGAAGGUUUGAUGUUCUCCAGAAAGCUGACCAAGUGCUGAGUUGGACUCCCCCGGAUGUGACUUUUUCGCUGUGCCAAAAAUUACGAAAUACUAAGGAAGGGUGUGCAUCUGCCCCCGCUCUCUCCAUUGUCCUUCCUAGUCAUGACAUGGGGGGCCUGAAGCAACUCCAUAGUGAGGACAAGGUGAAGGCCGAGCAUGGCUCAGCCUCACAUAGAGAUCUGACUGGCUGCAGUCGUACCAAGAAGAUUUCUCUGGACACUUCCUAUGUUCCCUUAUCCUCAAAGUCCUUGCCUCCAGUCCAGAAGAGCUCUCUUUCCUCCAAGCUCAGAAAGAAGCUACCAACUGUCUGAAGAAUGUUUCAAGAAUAGGAUUUAUAGCAUUUUUAGAAUGCCAUAGAAUUUUAUAGAAUAUUUUUUAAAUAGUUACUUUUGUACAUAUGUUCUCAUAGUUUUGAAUAAAUGUGUUUUGAUUGUAUCUUUAAAUUUUGAUAACAUCUUUUUAA